CUCUCUCAUUUCAAUUCAGUUUUUUUUUCUCGAUUCAUUUUUGCAAUUAUGUUGACUGAUGCUAAUUUUUUAUAGUUCUUUUGAUCUUCCUGAUCUGUUACUUCUUCUUGUUCGUUUAUCAAGAUUUCUGGUUUUACUCCAUUUCCUUGUUCUCUUCACUUUUAUCCAAGCAGGAAUCUUCCUCUUUCUUUGCUUCUUAUCCUUCAAUGGCGGAGGUUUUAUUAAAUCUGCUUUUUUAUUUUUUUUUUAAAUUCUGUGAUUUGGAUUUCUUAUCUGUAUUUAACUAUCCAGACUUUCGUAGAUGUUCUUUGAUUUGCGUGUGCCCUUCGGUCACUCUUAUGAGAGAUGAGACUUGAGAAACACUAUCACUCUGCGUUGUACGGUUCUGUCCACUCUUUCUUCGUGUCUAAAAAAAUAAAUAAAAAAUAAUAAAAAAUCUCGUGGGACCCAUAAAAAUAAAGGUAUUGGGUGUUAGCCGUUGGGGGUGUUUCAAGGGCUAACAUAGUAACUUGCCCUUAUCUUUCCCGAUUUAUACAUGAUCAAUCUGUGACUCACUGAAGCUAUGUUUGGAUGCCAAGAAAA